GCUAAUGAUGAAAAUUUAAUCCGGUUCUGCUUUUGAUUAAUUGAUAAAAUUUCUCUGACA
rnacentral:snRNA from 1 species